ACUCUCUUAAGAUGGCCCUUCACCUCCGAGUGUCUAUUCCACGAGGUGGACACUAGGUCCUUUUUGCCACUGUCCCCCUAUAAUAAAGAUUUAUUGACUUAGCGGAGGUCACAUCAUGCCCAUUUUACACGGGAGAAAAUUGAGGCUCAGGAUGGCUGAAGGUCUUGCCGUUAAGUGGUAAAGUUAGAAUUUGGGCUUGAAUCUGAUUCAGGGUCCUGUUCUCGCCACUAAUUGGCCUCUGCUAGUUGGGGUUUCACAGGGAGGGCAAGAGGGAUGGGGAAGGGGUGCAAGGAGGCACAUGUGGUGAGGGGACCAUCUAUUCCUAAGAUUCGAUUAGGAAUUUCCCAAAGGGGGCAGCGAUGGUGGGCCUGGCAUGACACUGGCAGCCUGGCCUGAUCCUCAUGUGGACAGGAGCCUUCUGGAUGCUGCUUUCUCACCUCACUGGUUGCCGUGGAGACAGGAGGGUGUGUGUGUGUGUAUGCAAUGAGAUGUAUCUGAAACCUGCUACCCAGGCUUGCCCCAGAGAUGCCAGCAGUGGGUGGGCAGACCAACCCCAGACCCUUCAGAGAAAGGAAGGAAAAGGCUGGUCUUUAUUUUUAUUACGAAAAAUUUUAAGCACACACAAGAGUAGAGUAUGCGGUACAAUGAACCCCAGCCUCAACAAUCACCAACUCUUGGCCAAUCGUGUUCCAUCUAUCACCACCCCUCCUCCCUCAUCGCAGAUAUUUGGAAGCAAAUUCCAGGCAGCAAUUAUUUUUUUUGCAAGCAUUUUAGUGUAUGACUCCAAAACAAGGGAGGGGGAGAUUUUUAUUUAUUUAUUUUUUUUGCUUGAGGAAGAUUCGCCCUGAGCUAACAUCUGUGCCAGUCUUCCUCUGUUGUACGUGGGUCACCACCACAGCACAGCUGACGAGUGGUGUAGGUCUGCGCCUGGGAUCCAAACCUGUGAACCUGGGCGGUCAAAGCAGAGUGCACCGAAAUUAACCACUAUGCCACAGGGCUGGCCCCAGGGGGAGGAAUUUUUUACACCACCAUCACCCCUACUAAAACUAACAGUAAUGCUUUAACAUCAGCAUAUAUCUAGUCAAUGUUUAAAUUUCUCUGGUUAUCUCAUAAAUGUUUUCUUUACAGUUUGUUAAAAUCAGGAUCCAUAUACGGUUCAUCCAUUGCAAUUGGUUGAUAUGUCUCUUACAUCUCUCUCAACCUAUAAGUUCUCUCUCCUUCCUUUUUUCUUUUUCUUUUUUUUUUUUGUGAGGAAGAUUGGCCCUGAGCUAACAUCUCUUGCCAAUCUUCCUCUUUCUGCUUGAGGAAGGUCAUUGCUGAGCUAACAUCUGUGCCAUUCUUCCUCUAUUUUAUGUGGGAUGCCACCACAGCAUGGUUUAGCGAGCAGUGCUAGGUCUGCGCCCAGGAUCUGAACCUGCAAACCCUGGGCCUCCAAAGUGGAAUGAGCGAACUUAGCCACUAUGCCACCAGGCUGGCCCCUCCCUCGCUUUUUCUCACUUGAAGACUCUGGGCUGGUUGUUCUGUAGAGUGUCCUACAGUCUGGAUUUGGCUUACUGCAGCCCCAUAUUAGUGUCACACAUGUCCCUUUCCCCCCUGUAUUUCUUGUAAAUAGUAAGAUCUAGAAGCUCACUUAGAUUCACGUUUGUUUUGUGUGUGUGUGUUUGUCUGACUACUUCCUAGUGGCUGUUUUGCAUUUCCAUUUGAAGACACUUGAUGUCUGGCUGUCCCUUUGCGAUGUCGGCAGCCACUGAUGCUCACCGGCUAUAUCCAUUAGGGUUUGCAAAAUGGUGGCGUACUAAUUCAAUCCUUCUGUCCUUGUUUGUUAGCUGGAAUACUUCCAUAAAAAGAAACUUUACUUUUCAACGUUUGGUUACUGUAAGGUAUGGUUCAUACAAGAAAGGGUAAAUGCUUGAUUCUCUCCCUUUAAUUGACAAUUUUCAAAAUAAUGAGUUGGUUUCCCAACAUCCUCCAAAGAUGACCAAUGGGUUUGUUUCUCUCAGUGUCAGUGUGAACUCAUAGAUUUGGACGUAUAUGACAUGUUUCAGUCCACUGCAAUUAUUAUUCUUGAUGCUCAAACUGUCCCAUCUUUGGCCCGUGGGAGCCUCUUCCUGCUGUCCCCUGCAUCCUUUUUGACAUGACCCCAGAAGUCUUUGACAGUUGCCAUGCUACCUGGGUGACAAGAUGUUUCAGGCUCGUCUUGCACAUUUCCUGCCUCAGACCCGGAAUCUGCUGAAUCUCCAAAGAGCCCUGAUUCCUAGUUAGAAGUGGCGUUUAGAGACCAUAACCUGGGUGCUGGGGGUGCUCAUGCUAUGAACUGCUCAUUAUUUCUAACCUUUUCAGUGGACGGAGCUAGGAGAUACAUGCUUUAUUUCGUAAGGCAAAACAUAGCAUGAGUUCACACUGAUGCUUCCAGUUCGAUUUGGGACUGGAGGUUUUUCCCUUUGUGAUCCUCCCUCCUCAUCUCCUUUCUUCCAUGGCAGUGUGACAAAGCCUGUUUCUAAAGGCAGAGCUCCUCAUCGUGUCUCCCAUCAAGCAGGAAGCAUGUGAGAAGGCGCUUAAGUCUUCCCCUCAGAAAUGAACUUGAACUCUCUGUUGAGGAGGCUCAGAAGUGGCCCUGGAGGGAGCCCCAUUGCAGGUACCGAAGGGACCACAUUCUAUGGCAGAUGUACCAGCUCCUUCCACCAGCCUGUGUGUGGAUCCUCUCAUCUAGCUGCUCUUGAUUCCGGCUGCACAUCUGAGUCACACAGGGAAUCAGAAAAACCCUCAUGCCUGUCCCCACCCCCACCAUCACAAUGAAGUCAGGAUCUCUGGGGCUGGACCCUAACAUCAUAUUGUUUUCAAAGCAUCCAGGUAAUUUUAAUGUGCAGCCAGGUUCAGAAUCACUGCUUUUCAGCCAAAGCAGAAGGAAGAGAGGGUUAAUGCUAGCAGAGGUGGCCUUGGGACCCCAUUAGCUUGGUUUUGAACCCUGGCACUGCCAAUUUCUACCUGUGGGAUCUGUGGAACAGCACUCGUCAACAGAACUUUCUACAGUCAUCGAGAUGGCCUGCAUCUGUGCUGUCCAAUGUGCUAGCCGCUGGCCACAUACAGGUAGGGCACUUGAACCAGUUGCUAGUGCUACCUAGGAAGCGAAUAUUUAGAUUUUUAAAAUUUUAACUAAUUUACACAUAAAUAGCCACAAGUGGCCAGUAGCUACCAUCCUGGACAACGCCACUCUGGAAAAUUACCUAACAUCUAGGAGCCUCAUGUCUAUAAAACAGGGCCUAAUAAAAAUUACUUCAUUGGGCUGUUGUCAGGAUUAGAGGUAAUGUAUAUUAAGCAUCUGGUGCACACAAGGCAUUCAGUAAAUUGCAGCUUAUUUUCCUUAUUAACGUCAGCCCGUCAUUCUUUAAGGAAAAAAACCCAAAAGCUCGCCUGGAAAACAAGUGCUCAGAAGCACCCCACCACAGAGACUGAAAAUUCUAAGCUGUUCCAGAGAAAACUCUCGGAAAAUAUUCCUUAAUUGCAGAAGUUCAAUUGCAGCGGGAGGUUAUCAGUUGCAAGGGCUGUAUUUCAUUACAGAUCUAGCCGCAGCUCAAUAAAUUAAGCAGUCACUCAAAAUAACAUGUUGCUUUAAUCCCCUCUUGGAACAAUUUCAAGUUGUUUGGUUUUAUAUUAGCACAGCCCUUGAAAGGCGACUCACACUGGCCUCGUUUCUUUUUUCUCUCAAUUCAUCAGCCCCUCUGGAUAUAGCUUUCCAUCUCCUGACUCACAGGAGAGAGGAUUCCAAGCUGAGCAGACCUCCUUUUGUCAAAACCGGAGCAUCUUCCAUCCUCUGGCCUUUCUGCGGCCCACGUUUCAUUUGCUGAAAUUACUGGCAGGUUUCUCCGCAGCUAAGACAGAAAGAGACAGCUCUUAGCAGCCCAGUUCUGGAUGUGUGAAGCUGACUCGCGGUGGCUUUUCCAUUUCCAUCUUCUCUCUAGUGGUUUAUAAUCUCAGAGGAGAAUUUCGUUUCCCCUAGAAACUUGGCACCCGAGGUGUCAGCCUGGGAACAUAUUUGUUUGUGUAAAUUAAAAGAAGAAUAUGUUUUGACCAUAUUUAAGUUCUAACUGCACUAAAGAAAUAAAUACUGAGUUGCAUAACGCUUCUUGCUGCACGGUUCUGGCUCACCUCCCCAAACUCUGUCUUUGUUUAUAAAACCCAAACUAACGAGAGCUCUGGACGGCUUAGCACCUCAGAGAGCCACAGGGACAACCUCGGAGGCCAUGUCCACCCCUACCCAGGCCACAGGGAAAGUCCACUUACCUCAUUUAGGAUUUGCUUCCCCUGACACACCGCGUCUUUGCCAGGUUGGGCGAGGGUGCUGGAAACAGCACGUACACCGUUGAUGGGCGUGUGAAUGAUACAACCUUUUGGAAGAACACUGGGCAGUCGCUGUAGAAAUUAAAAAUGCACCUAUCCUCUCACUGAGAAAGACCACUUCUAGGAAUGUAUCCUGUAAGUCUACUUGGACACAUGCCAAAAAUAUAUAUGUUAUAACAGCAAAAUCCUCGAGUUACCUGAAACGUCAGCCAGUGAGGGACAGGCUGGGUACGGUGCCAUGCUACAAGGCUUUAAAAAGAAGGCGGUGGGUCUGAGGGCUGUCGUGUCUUCAGGAUAUAUGGGAGCACACCCGAUUUUCUUAACGUUAUGAGCAGAGAAAGUGCAGGCACUCGAAAAUGCUUAGAAAAUUUAUGACGAUUAUGCCAACCGCAUACAGUAGCUACUUUUCAGAAAGUGAAAUUGGAGUUAGAGAAAAAUUGCAAAGACGCUCCUUUAUUUCCCACAUUUUUCUCUUCUGUACUAUUUUUUUUUUACCAUAAGCACGGUAUUAUUUUUAAAAAUCAGGAUAAAUCAAAAACAUAAAAUGGUGUUUUAAAAAUCAUUUCCACACUCGGAUGGGAGCAAGAUAAUACAACAAUAAUACUCUUUUCGUUAAAUAUCUGUGAGGCCAAUGCAGUAGUGGUGGGAAUCUGCUUUUCUGGUCUUUAUGCAAAUAACCAGUAAGGGCUGGAUGGAUUGAAAGAGAAAUGUGAAAAAAGAGAUGUGAAAAACAGAAAGGUAUGCCCACCUUCCAGUUCCUGGAACCCGUGAAUAUGACCUUAUAUGACAAAAGAGGUGAUCCAGUUAGGGAUCUGGAGAGGAGUUUGUCCUGGGUUAUCUGGAUAAGCAGUAAAAGCAAUCACAUGCCUUCUUCUAAGACAGAAGCACAGACAAACACAGGGAGAAGAAGAACAUAUGAAGACAGAAGCAGAGACUGGAGUGAUGUGCCCACAAGUCACGGAGCCACCGGAAGCUGGAAGAGGCAAGGAACAGAUUUUCCCCCGGAGCCCCUGGGGUCAGUGCAGCCCCGCCAGAUUUUGGGUUUCUAGCCUCCAGAACUGUGAAAUAAUAAAUUCCUGUUGUUUUAAGCCACUCAAUGUGUAGUAAUUUGCUACAGCGGCCCUGGGAAACUCACACGUCACCUGACUUUCCUAACACCUGGAAAAUGCAUGGAGCGCAUAGGUUCUUUAAGAAACAAGUUUGCUAGAACUGUGGUUUGGUGAACACAAAGCAUUCAUUCAUUCAUUCAUUCAUUCCACAGAUAGGUACUGAGCGUCUACCGGGUGACAAGCACGGUUCUAGGUGCUGAGGAUACAGACAGCAGAGAAGAAAACAAAGAUGCCUGUCCACCUGGAGCUGACAUUUCAGUGAGAGAGAGACUCCGAAUCUCGGUGCAACAUUCAGCGUUCCGGCCUCGUUAAUUCACGUAAGACACCCCAUUUGGAGAAGUAUCAUUAAAGGCUAAUUUGGUGAGAUAUCCUUCUUUAGCAAAGCAAAUAGAAGCUGACAGUCAGCUCUCGUGUGCUAUCAUGGGGUGACGAUUCAGCAAAAGGCAAACAAUUUAUUUCACAACGUGACAAUCGCCCCUCGCCACGCUGGAAUUGUGGACUCCUGAAAAUUGUGCUGUUUCAUCGUGACCCAUAACAAAGAGAGAGAAUUCUGGAAGUCAAGAACUGUUUUUGCCAAGGAUUCGGGAGCACCAAUGUCAUCUGUGGGUACAUGUACCAUGUCUUUUAAACACUGAAUCUUAUAUCAAGGGCUCUGUGUUCAAAAGUUUCGCAGGUACAGCUGGCUUUUCUAUUUUCUGCGGCGAACAAUUAGUUGAAAUCUUGGUUUGCAAAUAAAUAAACUUAAGGUAUGUGGAUGUCUAGAUAGGUUAAAACCGGAGGGCAGGGUGUGUGUGUGUGUAAAUUAAUACAACUUAAUAAGGUUAAUGUUCUGGGAGGGGCACUGGCCCCCCAACAUCCUUCCCUUAGAAAAUUCCCUGUGAACACCUAUCCAGACUUUCUCAUAAAAGGAUUUAGAGCGAGACCGCAAAGAAUUGCAAAGAAAUAUUGCAAUUCCACGUGGAAGCAAGAAGAGAGUUCCUCCUUUGACAAAUGCAAAGACAGACCAAAUGCAAUCAGGAUUCACGAUUUCAGCGGUGUUUGAUUUUGGGGGUGUCACAUGCUUUGACACAACCCAUGUGCCACCCAUUCCCACGACACCAGUCCGCUAGAACAUCUCCUUAAACCACUGGGCAGAAAAAGAAAUGUGUACUUUCGCCGUCUCGCAUCUCAUUUUGGCCUCCCAAGGAAAGAGGCCCUUGAAAACAUAGCAGGUUCAACAAACUGAGAACACACACACCCUGUACACACGUAUGGAAGAAUAUCACCCCCAAAUGGCCUUUCACUUUUACCAAAAGUAGCAAACCUCCCCCCCGUUUCUCCAACCGACUUUGAGCCUUGCAGCCCGGGGGGUGUUAGCUCUGCCUUCACUCUCCAGGGACUGCUGGGGCCUGAAUCCCUCGCUGUUUGGAAUGACCCCAAAAGCGGGACUUUGUGGGCCAGUUGGAUAAAACAUAAACUCAUCUCGCCCUCAAAACCCCGAUUCUGGGACCACAGACUCGAAAACCUCCUUUCCAUUCUGGGUCCACCCUUUCGAGAACUCCCCUGCACAGCUCACAGCACCGGGACGGGCUGCCUCUGAGGCAGGAUCUUGGAGAAUCCUGGAUAAUUAAAGGAAUCAUUACUGGGCUUUCCUACAGGGAUGACAGUUCAGCUCACGGCAAAGCCAGGGUCUCAGGGUAGGGAGGGGUGUGGACUUGCUCACCCUAUGGGAGGAUCUUUCCCCUCCCUUGCCCCGACUCCCACAGUCAGGCCUGAUGUCUUCCCAGGGAAGACGCUGGGCACCCAAAAUGCUCCUUAGCCAAGCGCAAACGGAGUGCCUGGGGGUGUCCGGUACUGUUCCACGCCCCCCACUCCCCAUCCAGCUCAAGUUGAGUUAUUUGCGCCCUUAAUUGUCUCUCAUUAAAGUCAAAUUUGCUACUUGCCCAGAUUGGCGGAAAUUAUUUCCAUCUUAAUAGCUCCAUUAGCCUCUGGGUUCGAGAAAGGCCACCCCCUACACACACUUUUUCUCCCCAUUUUAAACCCCCUCCCUUUUUCACAACUUCUCCUAAAAAUAAAUUAUAAAUAUGGAUGUGUCCUCAGAGGAUCUGAGCGGCACAUUCCAACGCUCCCCACGGUGGGGACUGGAAGCAGGAGAAACCAGAAGCGCCA
rnacentral:lncRNA from 1 species